UGACCUCUGCCACCCAAAGAUUUCCA
rnacentral:piRNA from 1 species